rnacentral:rRNA from 1 species
UGCGUAGGCGGACAUAUUAGUCAGGUGUUAAAUCCUGGGGCUCAACCUCAGAAUCGCACUUGAAACGGUAUGUCUUGAAUAAGUCAGAGGCAAGCAGAACUCACGGUGUAGGGGUGAAAUCCGUUGAUAUCGUGGGGAAUACCAAAUGCGAAGGCAGCUUGCUGGGACUUUAUUGACGCUAAGGCACGAAAGCGUGGGUAGCGAACG